AAACCGUUUUGAACAGCUCCCCAGUGGGUUCAGAGCAUUCUAGAAGCUAAAGGCCCUCUUGUUGCUGACUAGCAGAAGGCUAACCAAAUAUCAGGUUCUCUACUAGACACUUCCCAAUUUAACUCUCUGGGUGUGUCUCCUUGCCCUGCCAUCUUGUUUCCUGACACUACGAAGUCCAGUGACAUUAUUCAUAGUUGUGAGGAAACUAGAUUCAGUCUACUCUAGUUGACCUGGCUUGAGAGAUGUUUCUCUCAACAACCUUGAUGAUGAAUGGUUUACUGAUGGGUCCAGUUUUUUUUGAAGAUGGGAACAGAAAGACCUUCCUCACUCCUCAUGAGAACCCAGAGAAGACCUAAAACUGCUGUUCCUCAGAACCCCUGGAACACUGGAAAGGUAUCGUAUGGAGCAGGGUGAACUUGUCUGUGUUCUUUUUUAACCCUUUUCAUUUCUCUUUUUUUACUUUCCAGUUUCUCCAACUUAAUUUCUUCCUCUCAAACUACUGAAUCUUUUUCAGUGCCCUUUGAACCAUUCAUCCCAAGGAUGAGGGCCCUACUCCCAGUGCUCUUUCUUCAGGUCUCCUUACCCUACUUUGGAGCUCCCUCCAGUGGGGCCAUAACUCCUUGGUUAGGUUAGGAAACUCCAUAGGCAGCAGGAGUGUCCAAGGUUGUGAUGUGUGCUGUGGACAUCCCCACGGCAGCCGGCAGCUCUGACCUGACGCACUCUUAGCAAAGGCCACAUUUCUGAGAGUCACGGUCUCCACCCUAAAUGCCUCCCCAUUAGUAGUAGCCACCCUCUUGCCAACAACUUGACCUUAACUACUUGUUUUCUCGCCAGAAAAUCUCUCUCAUAGCUCAGCAUGUCUAAUCACAGGUGCAGAAACCUGUGAUGGCCUUGUUUACAUCCCAGAUAUGGAGCCAAGGACUUGUAGCACAAACACUGGGGGAGCAAGUGCAUAUAACCACUCUCACAAGUGUCUUAAUUUCACCUUAGCCACCUGUAUAUGAGGGCUAGAGCACUUACUAUACCUAUGACUAUGUAAAAAUGUCAUAUGUAUACUAUGACCAUAAACCACCUAUAGAGAGAACAGCAGUACCAAAACUGUUCCAAAAGUGUUUUAGCAAACUCACCUACAACACUUCUGCAUCCCUCUCCCCAGGCUCCUCCAGAAUAUCCUGAGAACAGACAUUCCUGUUGACAUAAAGCCAUGCAACUAGAGGGGCCCCUGGGGAGAACUAGCCAGAAAGCAAUUACCAAAGGUGACCUCCGGCACUUUUAUCUGUAAAGUGAGUCUUGUACAAUUUCACUUUGAUAGUUCUCAUGGCUGUUAGGGGGAAUGCUUCUGACUGUAACCCCUCUCAACCUGUCAUCUGCUCUAUCCAAUGUCUAAUCCUGUACACACUUUGGUGCAUGCACCUUGGCCGCCUGAAUACUCCUUUUCCAUGUAUAAUGCCAACAUUCCCUCCACCAACCUUACCAUGAUGAGAUCGAGGUGAGUGUUUGGAGAGAAUGUUCUCUGGUUUGUAAGGAAAGGAAGGGUCAGGCUCAUUCUCUGGGUGGGGUACUUAGAACAUGAAAAUAUCCUCUCUAAUCCGAGUGCCAUCUACCACCAAACAGCUAAGCAAGUGGUGCACUCUCUCCCAAGUCCUCCAAGAAUCCCUGGACUCCUGGCCAACAUUUUUUUUUCCUGAGACAAUUGGGGUUAAGUGACUUGCCCAGAGUCACACAGAUUUGAACACAGGCCCUCUUGACUUCAGGGCUGAGGGUGUCUAUCCACUGUGCUACCUAGCUGCCCCCAACAUAUUAUAUUCUUAGACAACUGGUUAGCCUUAGAUGCUCAUUUAAAGUCUUUAGUGGUGGUGAUGGUCUCCUUGCCAACACCUCCUACUUUAUGUACAUCAAUACUCUGGGGAAGGUUGAAUGCCAUAUAUGAGGAUCCUAAAAAAAACAAAACAAAAGUCUUUAUAAAUACGAGACAUUUUCUCCAAGUUUUUUUUUUUUUCUGGGUGGGGUCUCUUGGCUACUCCUUCUAUUGAACUCCAUACUUACUCCAAUUUUAAUCAAUCUUUUCCUGCUCAUUUUUGGUUCUUGCAUUUUAAAGCAACUACUAAGCUUCAUUUCUUCUAGGGUCCAGACCAUGAACUUCCAAUUACUUGCUCCACCUGGAUACUCCUUUCUACCUGAUUCAGAGACCCAGCACCUUCUGGAUUCUACCCCUAAUCUCUUUAAGUCACACAUCUCCCCUUCUCAAUCUGCACCCCACUAAGUAGGGACAUCUCUACGACCCCUUCCAGCGGGAAGUAACUGCAGAAGAUGAGACCUUCGUCCCUUUGCCCCAAAUGAGUUUAGGUCCCAAAUGCUUGAGGGGGAAUGAAGUGGGACAUUUCUAAUGUGAUACAAUUUUUAGGAAUGUUAUACUAAUGCAAUUUUUAGAAAUGCUGUAGUACUGGGUCCAAGUUAUUAAAUACCCUAAAAUGCCAGAUUCCAGGGAGGAUAUGAAACAGAUUCCACACUAUCUGAAUGAAGAAGUCCUAUAUUUAGGUGAUCUUUCUCAGGUUAUCCUGCUGAGUCAGAUGGCUAAGCUUAAAGGAAUGCCAACAUACCAGCCUGCUGGUUGGCGAAAAUGGAUUUUAAUGAAAAUAAUGAGCAUCAGUAAGGAGAUGCCUAAAGUUAUCACAGGCCCAGUAUAAAAUUAGAUGCCUGACAUUUGACCUAGUGAUCUUUCAGUCCUAAAAAAUGCAUCUCUGGAGAUGACUCCCCCCAUGAACUCUGGCCAGGGAAAUAUGGGAACUACAUCUGCCCGCAAAGUUAAGAACCUAACCUGUUCUCAACUUCAUAUAACAACAUUCACUUGUCCUACAAAAUGACCAACUUACAGUGGGAGGUGCUUUUGCCUAGCCUUUAGCUCAUAACUGCUUGUGGUUGCCUUAGUAAAUGAUUUUUGAGACCUUAUAUGGCCUGAAGGUCAGCAAGGCCCUGAAGCUGUGUUCGUCCCAACAGUUGCCUUGUGGCUGUUGGAGAGGUCUGGGUUGGAGUUUAAUAUCUCCUGAGUGAUGAGCCCUGAGGCUACAUGUUUAGCUAAUAGAUGCCUCAGAACUGGUGUGGAGGUGUUAGGGACUUGAGGCAGCUGCCAAGUCCCUGCCAGCAGUCUUAAUGUUGCAGUCUUAGUCUCAGGGUACUCACUGUGAAUCAAUGUAGUUGAUUUUAAAGGGGAAAAAAAUCCCAAUCUAUUUAAAAAGGAAAAAAUUCAGUCAUAUGUUCCCUUCUACAUAAAAUUGAAAAAUUACAUCUAAAAUGAGAGUUUUAAAAUCACCAGAAGUAUUUAAAAAUUAUGAAAAUUUUUGUCUUUCAAAAUUCUAAUGAAGAUGUCCAGUAUCAUAUUUGAGAUUUUUCAUUCAUCUGGGCAUUGGUGUCUGCAAUAUCUCUGCCCUUAUCAAUGCUCAGUGGAGCAGAAACCUGGUGACUUAAGGCUGAGUAGAAUCUGGCUAGCAGUGCUCCUAAGCUCCCAAGCAAAAACCUCCUAAACAGGUCCUCAGUGUUGUAGGCAGGGCAGAUGCAGCUUCUUGGUAGUACUUUGCAAGUAACUUUGAUCCUACAAAAGGAUGCUGGUGGUCAGCAAUUUCUGACUGGGGAUGUUGGGUUGAAUAUUAUCAGAAUCUGUCUCACUAAAGUUCUUUUUGUUGUUCAAAAAAGGAAUGUCCAGUGCCUUUCUGGUUUCUCUUCCAAAGAAGCAGGGCUCCAGGGUUGGAUGGAAACUGGCUAGCAGUCCUCCUUGGCAAAGGCAGGUCCUGGGCAUGGUAGGUAGGGCAGAUGCAGCUUCUUGGUAGUACUUUACAAGUUACCUUAAAUCCUCUAAAAGAAGCCUGGUGAUCAGCGGUUUCUGCUUGGGGACUAUAGGUAGAGUCUACUAAAUGAUCCUUUUGCCUUGGGAAACCUCAGGAAGGUGCUUAGGACCUGAAGGCUUCUUUGCCAGGGGGAAAAAGCAAGUCAGAUUUUGAGGCCAAGUGGAAAAACAUUGCAUUCAGUGACUAAUUUUAUGGCCACUGAGGUUCCCUUUGUGUCUGGCCUCUGAUGGAAGGGCAAGGUUGGGAUGGAUGAUACUCCUUGGAGUAAAAGGACAUUGGCUCAGCCAUUACUCUGGAAAGAUCCAGAAUCAGGUGCAGCACAGCCAAUGCCAUGAAAAUUUAAUUUUUUCUUUUCCAAAGAUUUUGAAAAAAAGAUGUACAAUCAUGCCUUUGUAGUUUUUCAACAAAUGAAGUAGGGAUCCAGGGACCAAGGCUAGAAGUAUUGGUUGGCAAAGGCAGGUCCUCAGUUUUGUAGGCAGGGCAGAUGCAGCUUCUUGGUAGUACUUUGCAAGUAACCUUGAUCCUACAAAAGGAUCCUGGUGGUCAGCAGUUUCUGACUGGGGAUGUUGGGUUGAGUGUAUAAGAAUCUGGAUCACUGAAAGUUCCUUUUGUUGUUCAAAAAAGGAAUGUCCAGUGCCUUUCUGGUUUCUCUUCCAAAGAAGCAGGACCCCAGGGACCAAAGUUGGAUGGAACCUGGCUAGCAGUGCUCCUUGGCAAAGGCAGGUCCUCAGCCUGGUAGGCUGGGCAGAUACAGCUUCUUACUCUACAUUUAAGCACCUUUAAAAAAGUCCCUAAAGGGAUCCUGGUGGUCCGUUUCUGCCUGGGACCUUUGGGUGGAGUGUACUGAACAGUUCUUUUGCCUGGGGACAAUCUCAGGAAGGUGCUCAGGAUCUGAAGGCUUCUUUUCAAUUGAGAAGUCAUGGGUUGGGGAGGCAGGUUGGGGUUUAAGACUGCAUUUUUUGAGGAGCACUGCAUUUGAUACAUUUUUAGGACCACUGAGGUUCCUUUUGUGUCCAGUCUCUGAUGGAAGGGCAAGGCUGGGUGGCUUCCUGAUGCUCUUGGAAUCGAAGGAGAGUUUAUGGCUCAGCCAUUACUCUGGGAACAUAAGAGUCUAAGUGCAGUACAGCCAAUGUUGGGUAUUGAAGCCACAAGGAGGGCACAAGCUCCUUCCUGUGAGGCACUGAAGUGACCCCGCAUUAAUUUCAAUCUGGCAAUCUGGCAGUUCAGGGUGGGCACCUGCUCAGUGCUGGACCUGGGGGAGGGGGUCAUUUUCCUAUAAAGGGGAAAUUCGUUGAGAAGGCCCUGACCUUCUCAGUAACAGCACUGACCUGGUCUGUUGGCAGAGGUUUUUCUGAGGCACUGGGACCAAGUCUGUGGAGGAAGAAGGGAACUGGUGAGCAAAGGGGAAGGAAAUCAGGAAAUAAAUUGUGGGUGGGAAAGAUAGUACCGGAAUAGGGAGCAGAGAUCUACUCAGUGAUACUUGACCUUUGGAGAACUGGAUCCUUUCAAUAUACUCUUACAUGUACUGUUAUUUCACACAGGAAGCCCAAGGGACAACUUUGUUACAUCCAAUUUUCUUAUAAACCAUUUAUUUGUACAGGUACAGAUAGCAAGCUCCUUCAGCUCACAGAUUGGCUUGUGGCGUUGUAUGUGCCCAUUGCCUUGUACAGAGUUUGGUCCAUAGCAGACAAUAAA